rnacentral:rRNA from 1 species
GGGUCAGUAGGUUGGUCGUGCCACCGGUACGUACUGGUCUCACUGAUUCCUCCUUCCUGAAGAACCGUAAUGCCAUUAAUUUGGUGUUGCGGGGAAGCAGGACUGUUACUUUGAAAAAAUUAGAGUGCUUAAAGCAAGCUAACGCUUGAAUACAUUAGCAUGGAAUAAUGAAAUAGGACGAUCGAUCCUAUUUUGUUGGUUUCUAGGAUUGACGUA